rnacentral:rRNA from 1 species
ACGGGUGAGUAAUAUAUCGGAACGUACCGAGUAAUGGGGGAUAACCAAUCGAAAGAUUGGCUAAUACCGCAUACGUCCUAAGGGAGAAAGCGGGGGAUCGCAAGACCUCGCGUUAUUCGAGCGGCCGAUAACUGAUUAGCUAGUUGGUGGGGUAAAGGCCUACCAAGGCGACGAUCAGUAGCGGGUCUGAGAGGACGAUCCGCCACACUGGGACUGAGACACGGCCCAGACUCCUACGGGAGGCAGCAGUGGGGAAUUUUGGACAAUGGGGGCAACCCUGAUCCAGCCAUGCCGCGUGUAUGAAGAAGGCCUUCGGGUUGUAAAGUACUUUUGUUAGGGAAGAAAAGGGAAGUGCUAAUACCACUUUUUGCUGACGGUACCUAAAGAAUAAGCACCGGCUAACUACGUGCCAGCAGCCGCGGUAAUACGUAGGGUGCGAGCGUUAAUCGGAAUUACUGGGCGUAAAGCGAGCGCAGACGGUUACUUAAGCAGGAUGUGAAAUCCCCGGGCUUAACCUGGGAACUGCGUUCUGAACUGGGUAGCUAGAGUAUGUCAGAGGGGGGUAGAAUUCCACGUGUAGCAGUGAAAUGCGUAGAGAUGUGGAGGAAUACCGAUGGCGAAGGCAGCCCCCUGGGAUAAUACUGACGUUCAUGCUCGA